UAUUGUUACUAAAAUAUACUUUAUUAGAAGAUAUAAAGCAUUUAUCACAUGGUAUGUAAUUCUAUAGAUAGAUAGAUAGAUAUUUAGAUAGAUAGAUAGAUAGAUAGAUAGAUAGAUAGAUAGAUAGAUAGAUAGAUCACAAUAAGUUAUUUACAAGUGAUUUAGUAAUGUAUUUGGUAUAGUCUACCCAUUUUAG